GCCGUGAUAGCUCAGCUGGGAGAGCGUUAGACUGAAGAUCUAAGUGUCCCCGGUUCGAACCCGGGUCGCGGCA
rfam:Taenia asiatica genome assembly, scaffold: TASK_scaffold0005367